UACGAAGGGGGCAAGCGUUGUUCGGAAUUACUGGGCGUAAAGGGCGCGCAGGCGGCUGAUCAAGCCAGAUGUGAAAUCCCCGGGCUUAACCUGGGAACUGCAUUUGGGACUGCAAGGCUUGAGUGCGGCAGAGGAGACUGGAAUUCCUGGUGUAGCAGUGAAAUGCGUAGAUAUCAGGAGGAAUACCGAUGGCGAAGGCAGGUCUCUGGGCUGACACUGACGCUCAUGCACGAAAGCGUGGGGAGCAAACAGG
rnacentral:rRNA from 1 species